GUUGGUACUGUCUCUCUCAUUUUUGCUUCUCUGAAUGGGAAAAACAGUAUCUUCUC
rnacentral:pre_miRNA from 1 species